GUUAGUUGUAUCUCUGCAAGACUUCGGAGUAUGCCUUUCGUCACAAAGAGCAGGCACCAUGAAAAGCCAGUGUUCCCAGGGCUUUCAGAAAUCCUUCAAAUGUCCACUUUUUGCAGCAUGAAG
rnacentral:lncRNA from 1 species